rnacentral:rRNA from 1 species
GACGAACGCUGGCGGCGUGCUUAACACAUGCAAGUCGAGCGGUAAGGCCCUUUCGGGGGUACACGAGCGGCGAACGGGUGAGUAACACGUGGGUGACCUGCCCUCAGCUCUGGGAUAAGCCCGGGAAACUGGGUCUAAUACCGGAUAUGACUCCAUGACGCAUGUUGUGGGGUGGAAAGCCUUGUGCGGCUGAGGAUGGGCCCGCGGCCUAUCAGCUUGUUGGUGGGGUGAUGGCCACCAAGGCGACGACGGGUAGCCGGCCUGAGAGGGCGACCGGCCACACUGGGACUGAGACACGGCCCAGACUCCUACGGGAGGCAGCAGUGGGGAAUCUUGCGCAAUGGGCGAAAGCCUGACGCAGCGACGCCGCGUGAGGGAUGACGGCC